GGCAGGCAAGGUCUGUAGGCAGACGAAGGGUGCGUCCCAGAGUGGCACAUGCUUAAUUGGGUCCAUUACUGGCCUAAUUUAGACAAGAACAUGCUGCCUGAGAGGAGAAAAAGGAACCAGCCAGAAAUCUUCAGGGGAGAGAACAUGACAACGAAUUAUGAGGAUGCCCUUCAUGUAGAAGCAAACAACACCCUCAGACAACAUCCACCCCACCCCUGCUGCAGUGUCCAAGGGUCUGCCUGGGACUUUGUUUGCACACUCAGAGGGGCCUGAUGAAUAGAUCCAGUUGUGUAGCAACUUGGUAAACAUGCCGGCAAACUGGUGGAGGUGUGAAAAUCUGCUCUUUUGAGCAGUCCCUUGGUUGGGUCCUCUAAUUAAAAUCCAAUAAAGGA